AGCUCCAAUAGCGUAUAUUAAAGUUGUUGCGGUUAAAACGCUCGUAGUUGGAUUUGCGGCCUCGGAGAACGGUCCCCCGAAAGGGCGGUCACUGUCUCUCCUAGCCUAAAUUCGAGUCGUCUCUAGGUGCUCUUUACCGGGUGCUUAGAGUGACUAGAACGUUUACUUUGAAAAAAUUAGAGUGCUUAAAGCAGGCGAAAUAGCCUGAAUAAGGUGCAUGGAAUAAUGGAAUAGGACCUCGGUUCUAUUUUGUUGGUUUUCGGAACCCGAGGUAAUGAUUAAGAGGAACAGACGGGGGCAUUCGUAUUCCGGCGCUAGAGGUGAAAUUCUUGGACCGCCGGAAGACGGACAACUGCGAAAGCAUUUGCCAAGAAUGUUUUCA
rnacentral:rRNA from 1 species